AGAUAGACAGUGUCUAAAAGAUUAUAUAGAAGAGGAGCAAGUUUUUCCUGACGAGUUUAUGGUCCAACCACUGUUGCAGAAGGAGAAGACAUUGACAAGUUUUGCAAUCAAACUCAAUCUGAAAUCAGCAUAACAGGCAAGCAAGAUGUGCUGCUUGUGGAUCACAAGUUGGAAAUGUUAAGGAGAGAAAUGCAUUUGGCUGGCCUAGCAAACAGAAAUGAAGGAGAAUGAUGAUUUAUUAGUUUCUGCCAAUCAAGUGCUAACACAGCCUUCAAUCAAAACAAUGUCUAUAUACAUGAACAUUACCAGAAAGAGUACACGGAAAUUAAACUGACUAUAUGCUGGGUAGAGGGCAUGGAACAGUUCAAUUGUAAUAACAAAGACAUGGCCAGUGAUCAACUAUGGAACAGACCAUGCACCACUCAUUUGUAAAUUCCAAGUCAAACUAAAAAGCCAAAUCAGCCAAUCAGUUUCCAUGAUAGUUCAUGAACAUAUACUUAUCUCUUCAAGGUUAAACUAACAAUCACUUUAAUAAGUCCUGAACCUUAUUGAUAGGGAACCAGAGGAAUCAUGGAAUGAAAUCAAAGAAGUUGUUAAGGAAGAAUGUGAAAAGAGAUUGUCAAAGACCAAGAAACAGAAGAAAACAAACUGGAUGUCAAAACAGAUAGUGGAAAUUGCCAAGAAGAGAAGCCAAAGCCAAGAAAGAAAAAGAUCUCAGGAAGAAACUUAACAAAGAAUUUCAGAUAACGUACAGAAGAGCAAGAAGCAAUAUUACUGUGAUAUUGUAAAGAUAUAAAAGAUGAAAACUGACAGAAAACAAGGGAAGUCUUCCAAAAUCUCUAAAGUAAGAACCUUAAAUUGGUAUAUUGAAGUAUACCAGGACACAGGUAGUGAUGAUUACUAUUAUUUUGAUUAUAUCCCAUCUUUAUUUUUACAACUUAAGCUAGUGUACUAGUAACUGAUUUCAAAGACUAAUAAUGAUGGAAGGAGUAAGUCUGUACAACAUCCAAGAUACCUUGAAGAUAGUUUCUAUUUAUAAAAAUGUCUAGUAUUAGAAAAUGAAGUAAAAUCAACACCAAAUCAGAAGGCUAUAGAUAUUGAUGGUAUAGUUAAAUAAUUAAGGCAAGUCACAGAAGCCAAAUCAGAAAAGGUUGUAAUAAAACUAUGCCAGCAAAUCUGAAGAAUGAUAUAGUGGCCCAAAGAUUGAAAGAAAUCAGUUUAAAUAUCAAGUUAAAAAGGAAACUUGACAAGUGUACAAACUAUUAUACAAUAUCCUUAAUUACACAGACUAGCAAAAAAAAAAUGCUUGAAAUCAUCAAAUGCAUAUUAGGGUCUUACACGGAAAGAGAAUUGCCAGAUGUUCAAACUGGUUUUAGAAAAGAAAGAAGAAAAAUUAUUUUUGAUGCACAAUAAAUAAUGCCAACAAGAAAUCAAUACAGGGUUUAUUAGAAAGGUCUUUAAAUUCUAUCAAUCGAGUCAAACUGUGCUUAGGAAAAUGAAAAUCUCAGAACAUCUCCAGGUAACAUUCAAACUAAAAUGCCUAACCAAGAAGGAGUUAAACUGAUCCAGCGGUUUGAGACUUAUUCUCCUUUUACAAUGUAUACCAACAAUCUCAACCAGCCUUCCAACUUCAAUUCUGAGCAUAGAAGCAACUCCUUACUUGUGUAGUCUCUGACCCCCUUCCUUCCCUAUGAGGAAGGUCUCCAGUUUAAGGAACCAACUCUUUUCUCUUCCUGGACAAUAAAAUGUAUCAAGACCACCUGCAGAGAAGAGUAGGAGUCUUUGUUUGUACAAGCCCAACAAGAAUAAUCUAGCAAGUGUUUUCUCUACAGACUUCUUUUUGUUAUCCUCUGGCACCUCCCUCUUCUUCAACUUCUUCUUCAGAGUGGUCUUUAUGCUCAAAACGUAAAAAGUCUUCAGAUACUUAUACUUUGCUACUCCAACUUAUUCAAAAGUAGGCUGGCAUUUUCCCUUCAUGGCAGAUAUAUUUGUCUUUUUAGGAUUGGCUUUCAACAAUAAAAAGACUAGCAAUCAAGACAUAUUCCAUAGACUAGCAAUUGAUAGGACAGCAGUGGAGACUUUGGGAAAGAUACACACACACACAUCUGGUGAUGUAUCUCCAUAUCUACAAAGAUCAGAGUCAUUCAGACACUGUUUAUCUCUGUGACCAUCUAUGGAAAUUAAAGUUGGACUUUGAAGGAAAUAGAAUUGAUCCAAUUUAUGUUUGAGACAACUCCUGAGAAUACCAUGUAUAGCCAAGAAAACAAACUGAUAGAUCAUACUGAUAGAACAAAUUAAUCCUGAGUUCUCACUUGGAGUACAAAUGGCCAAGCUCAAAGUAUCAUAUUCUAAACACAUUAUGCAAA